CAUUCUGUUCGCCUAGCGAGCAUGACAGCUCAGGAACAAAUUUUUGCUCCUUCAAGAUUAGCGUUCUGAAUGAUGAAUAAACCCAUUUGAACCCGUUGGAAGUAACUCAAGUCUUUCCCUUGUGUUGACUGAUCACCCGGAUAGGACCCACAAAGUGUCUUGGAUGAUGUUCAAGCUUCUUGGAUCUGAUUCUGAUUGACAUGAUGAAAUGCAAUGUUAUGUUAAAUGACCUAAAAAUGAAUGCAUGAAUGAGGAGGGCAAAUUUUG
rnacentral:lncRNA from 1 species